UAAGGAAUAUUGGACAAUGGGCGCAAGCCUGAUCCAGCCAUGCCGCGUGAAGGAUGAAUGUCCUCUGGAUUGUAAACUUCUUUUAUUUGGGACGAAAAAAGAGCAUUCUUGCUCACUUGACGGUACCAAGUGAAUAAGCACCGGCUAACUCCGUGCCAGCAGCCGCGGUAAUACGGAGGGUGCAAGCGUUAUCCGGAUUCACUGGGUUUAAAGGGUGCGUAGGCGGGUAGGUAAGUCAGUGGUGAAAUCUCGGAGCUUAACUCCGAAACUGCCAUUGAUACUAUCUAUCUUGAAUAUUGUUGAGGUUUGCGGAAUAUGUCAUGUAACGGUGAAAUGCAUAGAUAUGACAUAGAACACCUAUUGCGAAGGCAGCAGGCUAAACAUAUAUUGACGCUGAGGCACGAAAGCGUGGGGAUCAAACAGG
rnacentral:rRNA from 1 species